AUCACUGCGCCGGGAUGAGCCGGCUGCUCCACGUCAAAUAGUGCCGUCGCCUCCCCCCCUCCCUGCGGGAGGGCUCCCUUAGCCCCCGUCCUGCACCCCGUGCCGCGCCCUGAAUCCAGGCGACCAUCCUGUCCACCAUUGGCAGAAGUUUGCUCCAGCGCUCAGAGGAGUGGCCCCAAGCGAGGCCAGACUGUGAGGACGGCGGGGAACGCAGCGACUUCUCCAGGGGACAGCGCCAGGCGGGAGCGGCUGGCCCAAACCCGGACUCGUAGUCUAAGGGACCUGGCCAGGGUUAGAGACUGAGCGCUGGCCACCCUUGGCAAAGUGGGCCUCGACAGCGGGCAACGCAAGGCCAGCGGCACGCAGCUGGAGACUCCUGGGUGCAUCCGGCCAGACAUCCGCGAGAAAACUAGAAGACGUCGCAUCGGGAAACAGGGUACCUUCGGCCCCACCACUCCCGCGCGGGUUUCGUCCUGGAAUAGCAGGAGGGAUGGUGCGGUCCCAGGGCAGGAGUUAACAGCCCCUGCGAGCUGCUGCUGGGCGGCCCUGGCCCCUCCGGCUGUGGAGCAGCGGCGCGAAGCCGGGAGGGGAUGGAGGGCUCGGAGGGCGGGUCCCCUGACCCCGCUAGAGGCGAGAGGGCGGAUCAGAUUUGGAGCCUGAGGGAGGCUUGGUCAGAAGUGGCCCCCUGUGCUGGGGGGGCCCCCCGGAGGGGCCCGGCUUUGUGGAGGAUUAGCGGUCACCGCCCCACCCCAGUACCUGCGUGUGUGUCGGUGGGUAUCGGAGUGUGUCUGUGUGUGUCCGCGCUCCCGCCUCGCGGAAGCUAUUGAGAACGUGUGCACCCGUAUUCCUGUGCACAUACAUUUUGUGUUUGUGUGUCCUUACGUCUUUCCAGGCAAUGAGUGUGUGUGUUUUCGGUACACGUCUCUCGUGCUUCUAUGUCAUGUUUUUUACACGUCUUUGUGUGUGUCCUCGUGAAGGUGUAGAUAGUGAAGAUGUCUACGCCUUUGUAUGCGCCUCGGCCCCUUUAGCGAAUCUGGUAGAUUUUUCUCUAUAAGUGUGUCUCUGAGUUACCUUUGUGUUUCUGUUUGCCCCGGAGCUCCUGAAUUGUUCUGUGUCGCCCAGGGGUUUUUGUGUUUGUGGCUUUGUGUUCUGUGUAUUUCUCGGCGCCUUUGUGUAUCCAGGAGCAUGGGUAUGUGGAUGUAGAGUUUUCUUCACCCACCCUUCGUCCUUGUUUUUACCCAGUGUGAAAAAUCUAAGGCCUUGAGCCCUGAGGUUGGGCAGAGGCCUGGGCCUGGAUCUGGACCGCCUUCUCUGGGUAUCUGGGCCCUGGCGCGUUACUGCGGGAAGAAGCCGAGCGGGUAAAGGCUGGGGCGUGCAGAGCCGGGAGGCACCGAACCGCUCGCAGAAGCAGCGGCCCAACCGGGUGCACUCCGCCCUCUGCUGGCCAUAGUGUGUCUCUGCAACCACUGCUGGGCACCGAAAGCCCUGGUUCCAGGCCCGGAGCUUCGCCAUCUCCUUCAGGCUGAGUCGAAAGAAUCUUCUCUGUCUCAAACCUUAAAGACGAACCUCGGACUCUAAGCAAUCGCACAGUGUUUCACCCCCAUCUUCACCCUCCCAUUUCCCCCACGCUCCCUGUGCCUGUCCAUUUCUACCCCAUUCCUCUCCGUUUUUCUUUGGCUGAAUGGUGGCCCCUGUGGCCCGGCUUCAGAGGUUUCCCUGAUCCUCUGGCUGGCAUCUAAGACCGGGUCUGGACCUUUGACUGUGUUUGCUGCGCGUUCUGCAGUGCUUGAAGCCAGGUCUCAGCACCGAGGGCACACCUGUAGCCCCCCCCCCAUUUGAUGCAUGGCUGGUGUGUUUUCCAAGGCUCAGAGUUUUGGGGGCCUCUCCCUGCGCAGCCCGGCCCACUCGGGUCAGGCUGCCGAAACUGUCGGCAACUGAGUCCAGAGUUCCCUGGGUGAACAGUGGCACCAAGAUUGUCUCUAGUCCGAUUGAGGACGAUGCUCCGUUCACAGAUGCCUGUUUCCUUCUGUCCGUUCUCCUCUACCCGUAGGCCUUCUUUGUCCUUACUUUUCAACCCCGAAUUGACUAGACCCGGUCUUCACAUUGCCCCACAUAAUCGUCCAUGUGUCUCCGAGGCAUUCUUAGGGUUCUUGGUCUCCCAUCCUUUGCCUCUAAGGAAGAACAAUACGACUGGACAGGAGAACACCGGCCUAGGCCUAGACCCACUUCUCUCCGCGGGCCUCAAGCUCCUGGCUUCGCCCGUCUCUUCUGUACAAGCGGAUGCCCACCCCUGGCUCUGAGACUCACAACGCAGGUGGCCUAUCUCUUCCGCGCCGUCCAACGCGGGAUGCUUGCGGCCUCCGACGUCUGCUGCAGAAUCCGCUCGGGACUGUUUCCACCUGAGAAAGAGAGUUGCCAGCGACUGCUGGAAUCGCAAGAAACAAAACAGGGAGAGAUCCGGGCUCUUCUUAUCCCAGAGGCGUGCAGCUCCUGAGCCCUGACUUGGUCUCUGGCUCUUCUCCUUUAGGACCUUGCAACCUCACUCGGUAGCGACCCAUCUUGUGAGAGCGGGGGAGCGGUGUGAGGGGAAGGGCUAUACCAGCGAAAACCCAACCGUUUGGUGCUUCUGACCAGAGUCCGGGAGAGAGAGGACCCUUCCUCCAGGUUUAGAACCACCGGCUGCAGUGUCAGAUCCCAGCAGGAGGAGGACCACAGCCUUGGAUUCAUCAGCAAGGAGGCUAUCAGAAGCAUCGCACCGGCCUUCCUGCUCUGCCUCAAGAACCGAAGCCAUGGAACACCUAGGCUCACCCCAUGCUGCCCCUGGCUAAUGGCAUCUCAAGAUCUACGAGGCUCUGCCGCGCAGAAUCAAAGCUGUCCCAAAACUGUGGGCCAAGUCGGGAGCUGCUCCUCGGGGAAACUCAGUCUAUCCCAGACCCUCAGUGAUGAAGAACCCGAAGACCACGGAAAUGGAGCAAGGGCGCGCCCAAGACUCAGCAGAGGUCGAUCACUAGCAAUCCAACUCCCGAGCAUCCAGGUACCCCUCUGAGCAUUCUAGCUGGUCUUCACCCCACACACGAGUCAAAGCAUUGGACGACCACUUUCUACUACCUAAGGAAGGGCGUCUGAAGUCUCCCUGUGCUGGUGGAAGUUCUCCAGAGAGGCGAGACUAGAGAGGGGUUUCUGGGGUACUUAUUCUCCACUGGGGGCUUUUGAGGCUGAUGAGAGAGGGGUGUCAGGGUUUGCUGGUGGCUGGUGAGUGUUAGGAUGCCUAGAGCCAGAAGAUGAACAUCCGCAGCCAGAUCCCUCAGCCCUCCAACAACCCCCACUCUGGCCAUUACUCUGGACCAUCAGGCAUGGACUUGCUCCACUUGUGGGGAAAUCAGGCUCUCUCAGAUCCAAAGGCUGCCGGCAGCUCUUAGGAAGGUUCAGAGAAGGCCCUCCCAGGACUGGUGGCCCAGAACUGAGGUCUCCUACUGGCUACACAAUGGUUAGGAACAGGAGAAGGGCAGGUGUCAGGAAGCAUCCCUGUCUGUCUCAGGGUCUGGUUAGGAGACACCAGGGUAAAAGACCUGCUGCGCCUUUGUACUUCAAGGUCCCUGUCUGUGCAAUGGGCAUAAAAGAGACUUACAGAGUCUCUGAGAGGGUCACAUGAAAGUGCUCGUGGUGUGGCCAGCUCACUGUGGGGCUCUAGAUCUACUAUUUGAUGAAUAAUUGUAUGGGAGGAGAGCUGCUACUUAGACAUAGGAGACUCUCUUCCUCUUUCUGUUCCUCUGCCGCCUCUAGAGCCAGAACGAAAACAGACUUGUCUCAAAUUC